AGGCCCGGCUGGUGCUUCUCUGGGCGCCGCUGAAAGCCCAGCUCCGCAGGAGCUACAGGCGUGAGACCCACCGGGACCCGCGAGCGGGAUCAGGGCUGGGGGAUUAGCAGAGCCGCUUGCGAGGCUGACCCUCUCCAGGAUGCCCCAUGUAAACCUGGAUGUCAGUUUCUGACGCUUUAGCUUAAACCCAAAAGCCAAUCUGAGCGAACUCUUGCUUCCCUCGCCUGCCGGGCUGAACCCAAAGGCGCAUUAGCCCAGUGCGGCUGCUUCAUUCUUGAGCUAAGACCGCCGGCGGCGUCUGCGCCUCCGCGAGUCCGCUGUCAGGUCCAGCUGGUGUAGAGAGAGUUGAAAUCUCACUUUGGGCCGGGCGCGGUGGCUCACGUCUGUAAUCCUAGAACUUUUGGGAGGUCGAGGCAGGCGGAUCACUUGAAGUCAGGAGUUCGAGACCAGGCUGGCUAACAUAAUGAAACCCCUGUCUCUACUAAAAAUACAAAAAUUGAUCGGGCAUGGUGGCGCGCGCCUGUAAUCCCAGCUACUCAGGAGGCUGAGGCGGGAGAAUCACUUGAACCUGAGAGGCAGAGAUUGCAGUGAGCUGAGAUCAUGCCACUGCACUCCAGCCUGGGCAACAGAGUGAGACUCCGUCUCAAAAAAAAAAAAAAAAAACCACGAAAAAAGAAAUAUGAUUGGACCAGAAGGCCAAUAACCUGAGUGGGGAAACCCAGCAAGUCCUGUCCGUGUAGAUUCUUCUUGACCUUUCUCUGCAGCAUUCCUUCCUUCUGAGUACGGGGCAGGACUCUCUCUGGGAUGGAGGGGUCUUAGGACCUGCAAGCAAACAAGGGGGAGAUGCAUUAGAGUGCAGUGAUACGAUCACAGCUCAUUGCAGCCUUGACCUCCUGGGCUCAAGCAAUCCUUCCACCUCAGCCUCCCAAGUAGCGCCACUGAAAUCUAUGUUCUUACUCAGCCCACCUGCACUGAGGUGAAAUAAACAGCUUUAUUGCUCACACAAAGCCUGUUGGUGGACUCUCUUCACAUUGAUGCGCGUGACAUUUUGUGCUGUGACUUGGAUUGGGGGCCCUUCCUUGGGAGAUCAAUCCCCUGUCCUCCUGCUCUUUGCUCCAGGAGAAAGAUCCACCACGACCUUGGGUCUUCGGACCAACCAGCCCAAGGAACAUCUCACCAAUUUUAAAUCGGGUAAGCGGCCUCUUUUUACUCUCUUCUCCAACCUCUCUCACUAUCCCUCAACCUCUUUCUCCAUUCAGUCUUGGCACCAUCCUUCAAUCUCUCCCUUCUCUUAAUUUCAGUUCCUUUCCUUUUCUGGUAGAGACAGAGGAGACACAUUCUAUCCGUGAACCCAAAACUCCAGCACCAGUCAUGGCCUCGGGAAGACAGUCUUCCCUUGGUGUUUAAUCACUGUGGGAAUGCCUGCUUGAUUAUUCACCCAUGUUUCAGAGGUGUCUGAUCACCGCUGGGAAGCCUGCCUUGAUCGUUCACCCUUAGUGGCAAGCACCACUUUCCUGGGGGGCAACACCCCCCACCCCUUCUCUCCAUGUCUCCACUCUCUCUUUUCUCUGGGCUUGCCUCCUUCACUAUGGGCAACCUUCUACCCUCCAUUCCUCCUUCUUCUCCCUUAGCCUGGCAAGAACUUAAAACCUCUUCAACUCACACCUGACCUAAAACCUAAACCCCUUAUUUUCUUCUGCAAUGCCGCUUAACCCCAACACAAACUCGACAGUGGUUCCAAAUAGCCAGAAAAUGGCACUUUCGAUUUUUCCAUCCUACAAGAUCUAGAUAAUUCUUGUCAUAAAAUGGGCAAAUGGUCUGAGAUGCCUGAUGUCCAGGCAUUCUUUUACACAUCGGUCCCUCCCUAGUCUCUGUUUCCAAUGCUACUCAUCCCAAAUCCUCCUUCUUUCCCUCCCACCUGUCCCCUCAGUCCCAACCCCAAGUGUCACUGAGUCUUUUCAAUCUUCCUUUUCUACUGACCCAUCUGACCUCUCCCCUCCUCCCCAAACUGCUCCUCCUCAGGUCUUUCCCUGCCAGGCUGAAUCAGGCUCCAAUUCUUCCUCAGCCUCCGCUCCCCCAUCCUAUAAUCCUUCUGUCACCUACCCUCCUCACACCCAGUCCAGCUUACAGUUUUGUUCUGCAACUAGCCCUCCCCGACCUGCCCAACAAUUUCCUCUUAAAGAGGUGGCUGGAGCUAAAGGCAUAGUCAAGGUUAAUGCUCCUUUUUCUUUAUCUGACCUCUCCCAAAUCAGUUAGCGUUUAGGCUCUUUUUCCUCAAAUAUAAAAACCCAGCCCAGUUCAUGGCUCCUUUGGCAGCAACCCUGAGACGCUUUACAGCCCUAGACCCUGAAGGGCCAGGAAGCCGUCUUAUUCUCAAUAUGCAUUUUAUUACCCAAUCCGCUCCCGACGUUAGAUAAAGCUCCAAAAAUUAGAUUCCGGCCCUCAAACCCCACAACAGGACUUAAUUAACCUCACCUUCAAGGUAUGCAAUAAUAGAGUAGAGGCAGCCAAGUAGCAAAAUAUUUCUGAGUUGCAAUUCCUUGCCUCCACUGUGAGAGAAACCCCAGCCACAUCUCCAGCACACAAGAACUUCAAAAUGCCUAAGCCGUAGAUGCCUAAGCUGCAGCGGUCAAGCCUUCCUACAGGACCUCCUCCAUCAGGACCUUGCUUCAAGUGCCAGAAAUCUGGCCACCGGGCCAAGGAAUGCCAGCAGCCCAGGAUUCCUCCCAAGCUGUGUCCAAUCUGUGCAGGGAUCCACUGGAAAUCAAACCACCCAGCUUGCCCGGCAGCCACUCUUAGAGCCCCUAAAGCUCUGGCCUAAGGCUCUCUGACUGACGCCUUCCCAGAUCUUCUUGGCUUCGCAGCUGAAGACUGACACUGCUCAAUCACCUCAGAAGCCUCCUGGACCAUCACAGACGCUUUGGGUAACUCUUAAAGUGGAGGGUAAGUCAGUCCCCUUCUUAGUCAAUAUGGAGGCUACACACUCCACAUUGCCUUCUUUUCAAGGGCCUGUUUCCCUUGCCUCCAUAACUGUUGUGGGUAUUGACGGCCAGGCUUCAAAAUCCCUUAAAAUUCCCCCACUCUGGUGCCAACUUGGACAACAUUCUUUUAUGCACUCCUUUUGUUAUCCCCACCUGCCCAGUUCCUUAUUAGGCCAAGACACUUUAAAUUAUCUGCUUCCCUGACUAUUCCUGGGCUACAGCCACACCUCAUUGCCGCCCUUUUCCCCAGUUCAAAGCCUCCUUCACAUCCUCCCCUUGUACCUCCCCACCUUAAUCCACAGGUAUAGGACACCUCUACUCCCUCCUCGGCGACCGAUCAUGCACCCCUUACCAUCCCAUUAAAACCUAAUCACCCUACCUUGCUCAAUGCCAAUAUCCCAUCCCACAGCACGCUUUAAAAGGAUUAAAGCCUGUUAUCACUCACCUGUUACAGCAUGGCCUUUUAAAGCCUAUAAACUCUCCUUACAAUUCCCCUAUUUUACCUGUCCAAAAAUCAGACAAGUCUUACAAGUUAGUUCAGGAUCUGUGCCUUAUCAACCAAAUUGUUUUGCCUAUCCACCCCGUGGUGACGAACUCAUAUACUCUCCUCCUCAAUGCCUCCCUCCACAACCCCUCCACAAGCCAUUAUUCUGUUCUGGAUCUCAAACGUGCUUUCUUUACUAUUCCUUUGCGUCCCAUCCCAGCCUCUCUUCGCUUUCACUUGGACUGUCCCUGACACUCAUCAGGCUCAGCAAGUUUCCUGGGCUGUACUGCCUCAAGGCUUCACGGACAGCCCCCAUUACUUCAGUCAAGCCCAAAUUCCUUCCUCAUCCAUUACCUAUCUCGGCAUAAUUCUUCAUGAAAACACACAUGCUCUCCCUGCUAAUGGUGUCCGGUUAAAUCUAUCCUCAAGGAAAUCACUUCUCAGUGUUCCAUCUGCUAUUCUCCUACUCCUCAGGGAUCGUUCAGGCCCCCUCCCCUUCCCUACACGUCAAGCUCAGGGAUUUGCCCCCACCUAGGACUGGCAAAUUGACUUUGCUCACAUGCCCCGAGUCAGGAAACUAAAAUACCUCUUGGUCUGGGUAGACGCUUUCACCGGAUGGGUAGAGGCCUUUCCCACAGGGUCUGAGAAGGCCACCACAGUCAUUUCUUCCCUUCUGUCAGACAUAAUUCCUCGGUUUGGCCUUCCCAUCACUAUACAGUCCGAUACCGGACCGGCCUUUAUUAGUUAAAUCACCAAGCAGUUUCUCAGGCUCUUGGUAUUCAGUAGUAAAAUCUUCAUACCCCUUACCGUCCUCAAUCUUCAGGAAAGGUAAAACGGACUAAUAGUCUUUUAAAGACAUACCUCACCAAGCUCAGCCUCCAGCUUCAAAAGGACUGGACAGUACUUUUACCUCUCACCCUUCUCAGAAUUAAAGCCUGUCCUCAGGGUGCUAGUAAAGCCCAUUUAAGCUCCUGUAUGGACAGUCCUUUUUAUUAGAGCCCAGUCUCAUUCCAGACACCAUCCCAACUUGAACUGCACCCCAAAAACUUGUCAUCCCUGCUAUCUUCUGUCUAGUCAUACUCAUAUUCAUUAUUUUCAACUACUUGUAAAUACCCUGCCCUUGUUUACACUGCCAGUUUACACUUUUCCUCCAAACCAUCAUAACUGAUAUCUCCUGGUUUUACCUCAAACCGGCACCAUUAAGUCUCUCUCAAAGUGGAUAGAUCAUCUUUGCUGACAGGGUGCACUCCAGUACUUUCACCCUGAUGAAGUCCUAUUCUUUACUUUUAUACUCACUCUUAUUCUCGUUCCCGUUCUUAUGCCACCCUCUACCUCUCCCCAGCUAUCUCCACCACACUAUCAAUCUCACUCACUCUCUCCUAGCCAUUUCUAACCCUUCUUUAACAAACAAUUUCUGGCUUUGCAUUUCUCUUUCCUCCAAAAUUGUGGAGGCCUCGACUUACUCACUGCUAAAAAAAAAAUUAAAAAAAGACUCCAUAUAUUUUUAAAUAAAGUGUUUUUUUUGUUUUUGUUUUACCUAAAUCAAUCUGGCCUGGUAUACAACAUAAAAAAACUCAAGGAUAGAGCCCAAAAACUCGCCAACCAAGCAAAUAAUUAUGCUGAACCCCCUUGGGCACUCUCUAAUUGGAUGUCCUGGGUCCUCCCAAUUCUUAGUCCUUUAAUACCUGUUUUUCUCUUCCUCUUAUUCGGACCUUGUGUCUUCUGUUUAGUUUCUCAAUUCAUAAAAAACCGCUUCCAGGCCAUCACCAAUCAUUCUAUACGACAAAUGCUCCUUCUAACAACCCCACAACAUCACCCCUUACCCCAAAAUCUUUCUUCAGUUUAAUCUCUCCCAUUCUGGAUUCCCAUGCUGCCCCUAAUCCCGCUCGAAGCAGCCCUGAGAAACAUCUUCCAUUAUCUCUCCAUACCACCCCCAAAAAUUUUCGCCGCCCCAACACUUCACCACUAUUUUGUUUUGUUUUUCUUAUUAAUAUAAGAAGACAGGAAUGUCAGGCCUCUGAGCCCAAGCGAAGCCAUCAUAUCCCCUGUGCCCUCCACAUAUACAUCCAGAUGGCCUGAAGCAACUGAAGAUCCACAAAGGAAGUGAAAAUAGCUUAACUGAUGACAUUCCACCAUUGUGAUUUGUUCCUGCCCCACCCCAACUGAUAUGAUAUGUUCUCCCCCGCCCUUAAGAAGGUACUUUGUAAUAUUCUCCCCCGCCCUUAAGAAGGUACUUUGUACACCUAUCCCAAACCUACAAGAACUAAUGAUAAUCCCACCAUCCUUUGCUGACUCCUUUUUCGGACUCAGCCCGCCUGCACGCAGGUGAAAUAAACGCCUUGUUGCUCACACAAAG
rnacentral:lncRNA from 1 species